UCGAUGGGGGGACGCAGUAGGAUAGGCGAAGCGUGCGAUUGGAUUGCACGUCUAAGCAGUAAGGCUGAGUAUUAGGCAAAUCCGGUACUCGUUAAGGCUGAGCUGUGAUGGGGAGAAGACAUUGUGUCUUCGAGUCGUUGAUUUCACACUGCCGAGAAAAGCCUCUAGAUAGAAAAUAGGUGCCCGUACCGCAAACCGACACAGGUAGUCAAGAUGAGAAUUCUAAGGUGAGCGAGCGAACUCUCGUUAAGGAACUCGGCAAAAUGACCCCGUAACUUCGGGAGAAGGGGUGCUCUUUAGGGUUAACGCCCAGAAGAGCCGCAGUGAAUAGGCCCAAGCGACUGUUUAUCAAAAACACAGGUCUCUGCUAAACCGUAAGGUGAUGUAUAGGGGCUGACGCCUGCCCGGUGCUGGAAGGUUAAGAGGAGUGGUUAGCUUCUGCGAAGCUACGAAUCGAAGCCCCAGUAAACGGCGGCCGUAACUAUAACGGUCCUAAGGUAGCGAAAUUCCUUGUCGGGUAAGUUCCGACCCGCACGAAAGGCGUAACGAUUUGGGCACUGUCUCAACGAGAGACUCGGUGAAAUCAUAGUACCUGUGAAGAUGCAGGUUACCCGCGACAGGACGGAAAGACCCCGUGGAGCUUUACUGUAGCCUGAUAUUGAAAUUCGGCACAGCUUGUACAGGAUAGGUAGGAGCCUUUGAAACGUGAGCGCUAGCUUACGUGGAGGCGCUGGUGGGAUACUACCCUAGCUGUGUUGGCUUUCUAACCCGCACCACUUAUCGUGGUGGGAGACAGUGUCAGGCGGGCAGUUUGACUGGGGCGGUCGCCUCCUAAAAGGUAACGGAGGCGCUCAAAGGUUCCCUCAGAAUGGUUGGAAAUCAUUCAUAGAGUGUAAAGGCAUAAGGGAGCUUGACUGCGAGACCUACAAGUCGAGCAGGGUCGAAAGACGGACUUAGUGAUCCGGUGGUUCCGCAUGGAAGGGCCAUCGCUCAACGGAUAAAAGCUACCCCGGGGAUAACAGGCUU
rnacentral:rRNA from 1 species